rnacentral:tRNA from 1 species
CCCACUGUAGCCCAACCGGCAGACAGGCAAAUGACUUAAAAUCAUUAAAGUAUGGAUUCGAAUUCCAUCAGUGGGA